rnacentral:rRNA from 1 species
CCGGCGACCGGCGCACGGGUGAGUAACACGUAUGGAACCGUGCCCGCAGCAGGGGGAUAAGCGGAAGAAAUUCCGUCUAAUACCGCGUAACAACGUUGGGAGGCAUCUCCCGAUGUUUAAAGAUUUAUCGGCUGCGGAUGGCCAUGCGGCGCAUUAGCUAGUCGGCGGGGUAACGGCCCACCGAGGCGACGAUGCGUAGGGGUUCUGAGAGGAAGGUCCCCCACACUGGUACUGAGACACGGACCAGACUCCUACGGAAGGCAGCAG